rnacentral:rRNA from 1 species
GGUUAAGCGACUAAGCGUACACGGUGGAUGCCCUGGCAGUCAGAGGCGAUGAAGGACGUGCUAAUCUGCGAUAAGCGUCGGUAAGGUGAUAUGAACCGUUAUAACCGGCGAUUUCCGAAUGGGGAAACCCAGUGUGUUUCGACACACUAUCAUUAACUGAAUCCAUAGGUUAAUGAGGCGAACCGGGGGAACUGAAACAUCUAAGUACCCCGAGGAAAAGAAAUCAACCGAGAUUCCCCCAGUAGCGGCGAGCGAACGGGGAGCAGCCCAGAGCCUGAAUCAGUGUGUGUGUUAGUGGAAGCGUCUGGAAAGGCGCGCGAUACAGGGUGACAGCCCCGUACACAAAAAUGCACAUGCUGUGAGCUCGAUGAGUAGGGCGGGACACGUGGUAUCCUGUCUGAAUAUGGGGGGACCAUCCUCCAAGGCUAAAUACUCCUGACUGACCGAUAGUGAACCAGUACCGUGAGGGAAAGGCGAAAAGAACCCCGGCGAGGGGAGUGAAAAAGAACCUGAAACCGUGUACGUACAAGCAGUGGGAGCACGCUUAGGCGUGUGACUGCGUACCUUUUGUAUAAUGGGUCAGCGACUUAUAUUCUGUAGCAAGGUUAACCGAAUAGGGGAGCCGAAGGGAAACCGAGUCUUAACUGGGCGUUAAGUUGCAGGGUAUAGACCCGAAACCCGGUGAUCUAGCCAUGGGCAGGUUGAAGGUUGGGUAACACUAACUGGAGGACCGAACCGACUAAUGUUGAAAAAUUAGCGGAUGACUUGUGGCUGGGGGUGAAAGGCCAAUCAAACCGGGAGAUAGCUGGUUCUCCCCGAAAGCUAUUUAGGUAGCGCCUCGUGAAUUCAUCUCCGGGGGUAGAGCACUGUUUCGGCAAGGGGGUCAUCCCGACUUACCAACCCGAUGCAAACUGCGAAUACCGGAGAAUGUUAUCACGGGAGACACACGGCGGGUGCUAACGUCCGUCGUGAAGAGGGAAACAACCCAGACCGCCAGCUAAGGUCCCAAAGUCAUGGUUAAGUGGGAAACGAUGUGGGAAGGCCCAGACAGCCAGGAUGUUGGCUUAGAAGCAGCCAUCAUUUAAAGAAAGCGUAAUAGCUCACUGGUCGAGUCGGCCUGCGCGGAAGAUGUAACGGGGCUAAACCAUGCACCGAAGCUGCGGCAGCGACACUAUGUGUUGUUGGGUAGGGGAGCGUUCUGUAAGCCUGUGAAGGUGUGCUGUGAGGUAUGCUGGAGGUAUCAGAAGUGCGAAUGCUGACAUAAGUAACGAUAAAGCGGGUGAAAAGCCCGCUCGCCGGAAGACCAAGGGUUCCUGUCCAACGUUAAUCGGGGCAGGGUGAGUCGACCCCUAAGGCGAGGCCGAAAGGCGUAGUCGAUGGGAAACAGGUUAAUAUUCCUGUACUUGGUGUUACUGCGAAGGGGGGACGGAGAAGGCUAUGUUGGCCGGGCGACGGUUGUCCCGGUUUAAGCGUGUAGGCUGGUUUUCCAGGCAAAUCCGGAAAAUCAAGGCUGAGGCGUGAUGACGAGGCACUACGGUGCUGAAGCAACAAAUGCCCUGCUUCCAGGAAAAGCCUCUAAGCAUCAGGUAACAUCAAAUCGUACCCCAAACCGACACAGGUGGUCAGGUAGAGAAUACCAAGGCGCUUGAGAGAACUCGGGUGAAGGAACUAGGCAAAAUGGUGCCGUAACUUCGGGAGAAGGCACGCUGAUAUGUAGGUGAAGUCCCUCGCGGAUGGAGCUGAAAUCAGUCGAAGAUACCAGCUGGCUGCAACUGUUUAUUAAAAACACAGCACUGUGCAAACACGAAAGUGGACGUAUACGGUGUGACGCCUGCCCGGUGCCGGAAGGUUAAUUGAUGGGGUUAGCCGCAAGGCGAAGCUCUUGAUCGAAGCCCCGGUAAACGGCGGCCGUAACUAUAACGGUCCUAAGGUAGCGAAAUUCCUUGUCGGGUAAGUUCCGACCUGCACGAAUGGCGUAAUGAUGGCCAGGCUGUCUCCACCCGAGACUCAGUGAAAUUGAACUCGCUGUGAAGAUGCAGUGUACCCGCGGCAAGACGGAAAGACCCCGUGAACCUUUACUAUAGCUUGACACUGAACAUUGAGCCUUGAUGUGUAGGAUAGGUGGGAGGCUUUGAAGUGUGGACGCCAGUCUGCAUGGAGCCGACCUUGAAAUACCACCCUUUAAUGUUUGAUGUUCUAACGUUGACCCGUAAUCCGGGUUGCGGACAGUGUCUGGUGGGUAGUUUGACUGGGGCGGUCUCCUCCUAAAGAGUAACGGAGGAGCACGAAGGUUGGCUAAUCCUGGUCGGACAUCAGGAGGUUAGUGCAAUGGCAUAAGCCAGCUUGACUGCGAGCGUGACGGCGCGAGCAGGUGCGAAAGCAGGUCAUAGUGAUCCGGUGGUUCUGAAUGGAAGGGCCAUCGCUCAACGGAUAAAAGGUACUCCGGGGAUAACAGGCUGAUACCGCCCAAGAGUUCAUAUCGACGGCGGUGUUUGGCACCUCGAUGUCGGCUCAUCACAUCCUGGGGCUGAAGUAGGUCCCAAGGGUAUGGCUGUUCGCCAUUUAAAGUGGUACGCGAGCUGGGUUUAGAACGUCGUGAGACAGUUCGGUCCCUAUCUGCCGUGGGCGCUGGAGAACUGAGGGGGGCUGCUCCUAGUACGAGAGGACCGGAGUGGACGCAUCACUGGUGUUCGGGUUGUCAUGCCAAUGGCACUGCCCGGUAGCUAAAUGCGGAAGAGAUAAGUGCUGAAAGCAUCUAAGCACGAAACUUGCCCCGAGAUGAGUUCUCCCUGACUCCUUGAGAGUCCUGAAGGAACGUUGAAGACGACGACGUUGAUAGGCCGGGUGUGUAAGCGCAGCGAUGCGUUGAGCUAACCGGUACUAAUGAACCGUGAGGCUUAACCUU